UUGCUAACCCACAACCUAGCUAACGUUAGUUACAUUACUUGUUGUGUUGUUGCUCGCUUUAUAUCAUGGUAUUUGUCAUGGUAUUGUAUUUCUCCAGAAUCGCAUACCCCACCUUUAAUGUACAACUCAACCCAGCUAAGUGCAAGACCUACCAACACAGGAAUGUGCCAGUCUUGCUUAAGCAAGAAAACUAUUUAUGGAUCCAACUCUCAGAUAAAUGAAUGCCUACAAACUCUGCCCUUUUUUGAGUAAUUUUCAGUCAGCAAGAACUUAUAUUAUGCUCAUGCUUGUCAGCUAAGUCACAGUUAUUUGUUAAAACCACAAACUAGCACCUACCUUUUAUACAGCUGUCCCCACUUCCUGUGUUAGUUAACCCACAGACACCCACCCCUCAGCAAUGAACAUUAGACCCUGUCAUAACAAACAGUGUUUAGAGUAGGAAGUGAUAGAGUAGAUGGUAUUUAAUGUGAUGCAUUUUUAUAUAGUGUCUUAGAUUAUUAAAAAAACGAUAAUAGAGUAUAGCACUACCUGUAUGAGACUCUGAUGUUCCUGUUUGAUCUUUGAAAACAAUAUGCAUUUAUUUUCAACUGAAAUUCCAAAUUUAGGGAAAUCUGGCACAAUUAUAUAGCUGUUAAAUUACAUGAGUGUCCCACUUCAACAAAGUUAUCCUAUUCUGACUCUCAGCAAAUACGACAAUGUCUUCACAGCUGAUAAAGCAUGUUAUUUGCACAUAGAAUAAGAAAUGUGUUUCAGUGUAAUUAAAGUAUUUGUGCAAGUAAUGCCGCCGUUAAGAAGUAGAAACAAAGCCAGGCACUUAAGCCAGGCACUCCUUCCUUUGAACUGACUGAAGCUGUCCACAGCAAAGACAUGAUAGUCACAGUAUGAUAAGAUAAGCUCUCUUUCCAUCCAGCAGCGUCAUUCCAUGCCAGUGCUUUGUUUAACAAUAGUUUUGUAUUCAAAUGUGAAUUGUUCUCUGCUAUGGCAAAGACUUAGAAUGGCUUAAACUUGUGUUUAUCCUUACCCAAACCUUGGCCUAAUUUGAAGCAUAUGCAGAAAACAAAUCUACGAUUGUUUUACCACUAAAGCUUCUUCUCUCCUUUCUAUUCAAUGUCAAAAUCAAAGAUUACAGAGAGCUUUGGAGGUGAUAUUGCCAUUCUUUGUUUAGACAAUGGCGCACUAAACCAAUAACUGUGUUUUGUGUGCUGACAGCGUGUACGUUCCUUCAUAAUUGCAGUUUUAGCAGCACUGUGACAGGGAGAUAUGUGUAUGGGGGAGGUUCAUCUUCUUCCAAUGGCCCUGCAAUCGAGCUUUAGCUGCUAAAACAUGGAUCAGCAAGUGUUUGCCAGACAUUUGCAAAAUGAUGUAGAAGGGUUUGUCUGUAUCUCUGCACCCUCAAAACCAAAACACUCACUCACACACACACACACACACACACGCACACAAAGAUAGCACUGCCAAGGACAUCCCUCCAAAUGAUGAGAGGAUGGUGCAGCUCCUUGUCCUUGGUACACUGUGGUCCAGCCUUGCACCCCCAAUCACCUUGUUGUUAAACCAGUUGAAAAUCUGCAAGUUGCCCAUUCGCUGACUCAAGAGUGCUGCAAUUCACAGUUAAUUUUGCUUAUGUUACAGGGCUCCGGCAUAAACGCAUGUUUCACCCGCUUCUUUAACUACAUGUGUAAAAUCUGCAGAAAAUAAGAGAAACAUAGAACCUCUCUUUUUUUGCAGAACAUUAGAUUUUUUUCCCAUCUCACUUUACAUAACAUACUGUAUAAUCUGAGAUGCACAUUUUAAUGUCCAAAUAGUCAGUCAGUAAUUCUUCAGUGGGCUUUUACUGAUGUAAUAAUGAAUAAAAUUUGUGAAUAUAACCGGUUUUUACUGUCACUUUGAGCAGGAUGCUGAAAGAGAAAUGGCUGCAAAAGAAAUGGAUGCCUUCUGCUUAAAGCUGAAAUGAAUCGCUCACAGUUAAGACUUGACCACACCAUACAAUUAACCCCUACCCCCAAGAAUAUGCUUUCAAAAUGAAUGGUUACAAAUAGGAAUAUCAAAAGGGAGGGUUUUGUCACUUCCCUUUGACUAUGAAUGUGAAUUAGAGCUAAAAGUCUGCCUGUGGUCCUCUGACCUUUGUGGCUCCUCUUCUGACUUGGUUCAGGUAAGUGCAGGUUGUGUGAUGCAGUGGUAUCAAUAAUGGAAGAAAGGCAACCCCCUCCCUUUGGCUGCUAUGUGGGUCAGAGGAGGCUCUCUGUGGAUGGGAGAGAUUGAUGAAGAGCACCAGGGAGAGCAUUGGAGCGCCUACCUCACAGCGGUGCAACCCAAGCCGCUCCCCACUGCACUUGUUCCAAGGCCCCCCUCCUGAGCUGCACCGCCUGGCGCUCUUUAAAUGACCUUCAAAUUAGCCUUAUUUUUCAGGGCUCCCGACCCUUCAGGGUCCUUCCUGGAAGGAUGGUAGGUCUUGUUCGCACCCUCUUUCUCUGCUUUUUCUUUUGUUAUCUUCCUGUUGUCCACUGAUGGAGUAGAAAACAACAGAGGAGUAGAGCUUGUGUAGCAAAGGUGACUGAUUUUCACUCCUGUUGUCUCUGUUGUAAUCAGACAAGGGAGCUGUUAUGUGUUCCUGAUUAUGCAGUUGACACACACACACACACACACACACACACACACCUUUACCCUUUCAUUACACUUACUCUUCCAAACAAAUUUGAAAUUGUCACACAUCAUCAUUGCAGCAUCUGCAGACAAUGAUACAUGUGGUGUUUUGAGAAGUUUGUGUGUGAGUCAUGGUGGAAUCCUUCUUCCACUGCAUCACAGAAAAUACUCUGUCAAGCCAGCCAUCCAUCACUAUAGCUGGGGUUUAUGUACACACAGCAGGUCAUGCUGGUCCUCUGUCCAGAGCUGAUGCAGAGCUCUUGAUUAUCCAUUUGCAUUAAGAGAAACACCCCUCUCUAAUGGAACUAAAUGACUCAGACUGCUGCAAUUUGUACGGUUAUGCUUUGCUUUUAAUGGAAUGGGUAUCUGCAAAGCUUUGAAUUAUGAACUUUUUCAGCAAUUUUCAGGAUGAUUUGUUCACAAUUUAUGUUUAUUAUGUUAAGACAAAUUGACUAAUCUCAUCUCUCUACACCUGUGACAAAUUGUAGAGGGAGGAGAAGCUCCUCGCUAACUCACCCCACCAAUCAACAACAAUCUACAGCAAAUGAUUGAAACAAACACUUAAUCACUUAUGCUAUGAAACUGUUAAUUGAUGCUUAGCUGAUAUUUUAAAUGCACCUCGUAGCUGUGUGCACAGUGUAGCACAGUAGCCUUAAAGGUGACCUUAUACAGUGCAGGCAUAUGUUGCACCCUUUUGGGAAAAGCUUUGACUUUUGUAUAAGUGGCAAUUUGUCAUGGAAAGCUUUUUAACAUCCUCUCCUUUAAAAAAAAAAAACUGACCUUAUGCAGAGAAGUGCAUGGAAACUUUCAACUCGCCAAGUGAAGAUAAUUUAGUGACUGCACAACAAUUAUGCCGUCAUCAGAAACCUCUCUGGAGGUAUUAAAAAAGAACAGAUAUUCCUUUUCAUGAUAAAUACUAUUGAUAAAGGUAAAUAGCCAGAAAAGAUCAAAACUCAAAGCAUUCUCUUUUCUCUCCAGGUUCCCCCUGCUUGCUUUUGACACUUUUCCAAACAUUUGGAGCUAAUUCUCCAGCUAUGGUGAUGGAAAAUCGACAGACGGGAUUGUAACUCAGAGGCAGCGAGUGAGUUAGAGAGCAAACAUCAAGGGGAAUCAAAUUGGAAAACAUAAUAAGUCAUCGUGUUAGCUGUGGAGCGAAAGAGAUGGUGUGAAAAAAGGCAAGAGGACAACCAGAGGUGGGGCAUGACUGAUGGCUGGGUAGAAUGGGGGCUUGUUGCUCCAGAAGGGCAAAUCUGACCUGAUUGAUUGGCUAGUAUUUCAGAGAGGGCCCUAUGCCCAUUUGCUUAUGAUGCUGGAAUUCUUUGGUAGCAUUUUGUAGAAGGAGUAAGACAAAUGAUGAAAAGCACCCAAUGUUAGGAAAAAUUAGGAAUUAGAGUAAAUUUGGAAAAAGGGAGAAUCAGGCCAUGGGGGAUCAUGAAGGUAUUUGUAUUAUUUAAGCUGAAUGAAAGCUUCUGAAUGCUGCCUUAUAUUAUGUUAUUCUUUCAUUUCACAGGAAAAAGGUGCAGAUGUUUCAUGGGUAUCAAGGACAAGUGCAUUAAUGAGCACCUGGAGAGGAACAGCUUGUGUCUCCUGGUUAGUGUGACCGCGAGCAGGGCGCAGACUCCUUCACUGACUCAGAUGACGUGACUGAUGGAGGGGGAGGUUUCUGUCAGAUCUGGGGCACUCCCAGGAGCUGCAGUUUGUCUCGGCUGACAACAACGCUCACCAAAGGGGCCCCCAUCCCACAUAUCAGCUGGAAAGGUGAGAGAAGAUGUUGUCCUUCCCUCUGUACUUGGAGUCCUACAGCUCCUCCUUUCCAAAAUUCUUAUAUUUUCUUUCUUUCUUCUUUUUAAAUGUGUGUCUUCUCUCAAUAACCUUUUAUUCCCUGAAAGUACUGUAUGAUGUGCAGCUACAGCAAGUAGCAGCUGCAAAAUGUUCAAACAUAAAUGUAUAUAACGUGCUAUGUUUUUAUGACAUGGGAUGUUUUAUGAACUAAAAAUGAUCUAAUCAACACACUUUUAAAUCUAGACUUUAAAAUAUAGAGCUUUUAUCAAAAUCUUAGCUCACAUGACACAAUUUUGUAUCUGCACAACAGAUGGAUGAUAUCCAUAAACUAUUCACACAAAGAGAUUAGAAGUUUAUUCUGUAUUCUAAAUCAUCAACAUUUAUAAUAUAAUUUUUGUGAUUCUCCAGCAGUAAAAGUCAAACCAUAAUAUCAUGAUAUGUUUGGUUAAAUAAGGAUGAAAUAAAUAUAUCCCCCAAAUGUCUUACUGAUAUUUUGUGAAUGGCAAAAGAACAAAGAGAUAGAGUCAUAUCCUCAGUUACAUAUGGAUUGAACAGGAUGCAUAUGGAACCAGAGACCUAAGAAAACAGCUGGAUUUUGGAGUUUGGCAUUGCUUGAAAGUGUGCUGAGAUACUGAGUCCAGUCCUUAAUGGAAAAAAAGCACAUACAGUCAUCCUUGCCACUUAACAGUCAUAACACUGCCUUGGUGCUGUGACAUUGAUAACAACUUCUCUUAUUAGAUUUGCUCUGUGGUCUUACGUUGCACUACUAAUAGAAUUACAUUUGCAUUGCUAAUAGCAUUAUAUUCACUCAAGUAUCUCACAUCCUCAUCAAUGCACAAAACAACAAUGUCCUGUCUUGUUCCCUGCAGUAGCUCUGACAUAAAAAACAAAAAUGUACAAGCAUGCAGAUCAAUAUGUAUACACUGAAACAGAUGGCUUUAGCCUGGAUUUGUUAUAGUGCAUGUUGAGAAAUGAACAAACUACUCAUUUGGAGGCCUCACUUGUGAUACAAUUAUCUCUCAUUCAACCAAGAUUUUGAUGCAGCUUGAAGGUUCCUUAAUGCCCUGGAAACAGCAGUUAACAAAAAAGCUGUUCUGCAGCUUUUGGUCAAAUCACAUGAUCUUCAUCAGCAGUUUUUUUACCAGUUCUCAAUAGAUGAUCAAGUUUCCAUUUUUUUCCUAGCACUUCUUGUUAAUGUUGGCUUAAAAGUGCUCAGAACAAAUCUAAAAUUGAGUAUCUACAAUUCCAUGACAACUGGGUAAACUUCAUCUGCUGAUGAAGAUCAUGUGAUAUGAUCGACAGGCCCAGAACAACUACUAAGUGGACCUUGUCCUUGCAGUGAGAGUAUUUUGUCAACAAGACAUGCUCUAAUUAGUGUUCUGUAAUGGGAGGUGGCAUAAAAAUAAUGACAGUCAUGACAAAUACUUUACUGUACUCACACUGAAGUUUUACAAGUUCUAGUCAGUGAUGGGUUUUCCAGGUUCCAGGCUGCUGGUUUUAUAGGUACAAUGGCCCUCUACAACAGUUUGAAACACAUGAUACUCAUUACAGUAGAGCAUCUCCUCAACUGUUAGGGAAAAAUGAAGCUUGGAAAAUUGGAGCAGCAUUGCAUGCAGUCCUUCUUUUCUCUGUGACUUCUUAUUGCCUGCUUUUAUUCAGCGCACUUGACUUUGGUGAACUAAACACUGAAACAGGAAGAAAGGGCUCAAGGUGUUGAGAUUGUGCUCUAUUUCAACUUGAGACAGGCCUUUGAAGUAUGUUCUCCAUCCAGUCAGACUUACUUAGCAGGCUGGAUCUACUUUGACUGCACUGUGUUGGUAGUAUGGUGUUGGAAUGGAAAUUUGCAGAACUGAAUCUCCAAGCAGUAUUCUGAAUGCUAAGAAUGUCCACAGACUUGAUAAGGUUAUUGAUACAGUACUUCCUCCUAGCAGUUUCUCCACUGAAAAUCCCCAGCCAAGCCCAUGGGGACAUUUGUUCUUGUGUUACAGCUGCCCAUGUUUACCAUCCUCCACCUCGGGCUCUUUCCACUGAGAGAAAGAUGUUUGCUAGGGUGCAACUCUGCAAAUCCCACCUGGAUGUGGCAUUUGUAAUAAACAACCUAGGGGCAUGGCUGCCACCCUUUCUCUUUUCACUCCCAGCGCUCCUCCUCAAGCCCCUUCAACACUGUUCAUAAGCUCCCCAAACAACCUCUAAUUUGUGUCUUGAUUAGUGCCAUGUAAAUUGUGCUGUUGUUUCCUAUGUAACUCCAUGGGUAACAUGUGACAUGGCUGUUUCACCGCUUGCUCUCUUUUUCUCUCUCUUUCACACACUCUCACUCUUCAUCACUGUGAUAGCACACAAGGGGGAAGAUAUAGUUAUUCAGGGAAUUAUCUGCCUCAUUGGUGCCAUAUCUCAUCCCAUGCUUUUCUGCCAAAUGGCUGUGUUUCCAUGGAGCCUGCGUAUGUUUACUGUGACGUGCCAUGGCAGAGCCCUUUCUGGUACACAGGGACUUAGCACACAGCAGUGGAGGGUAUUUCAGUCCCCGUUUGGAGUUUUGGGGCUUACUUCUCCAGCUCUCCUCUCUCCUCCCACCUGCUCUCCUUGCUGUUCCUUCACUGGAUGCCUGUGUGGCUGUGUGCUGGUGCUCCUGGCCCUGUUCUUAGACAGACAAGGCUAAUUGAAAGGGAAGGCUGCUCUCUGCUGAUCAGCUCUGACAGCAGUGUCUUGCCAGAGGUGGGUGUGCCACCCCAUGCUGAGAGUUUUCACAGCAAAAUAACAGUGCUGUCGUGAAAAACACAGACCAUGCCACAAUUACCCGGGCAGCUUGCCAAAAGAGCCAGAUGAAUUUUGCGGACAGAAGAAAGAGGGGAAACCCACUUUGUCUGCUUUACGACUUUAGGGAGGAGAGCUGUGCCAGCAUUUAGUGAAAAUCUAACAGGCAUUCUCGCAUUUCAUUCAGGGUUAGAAUGAAAUGAAACCACAUUUUUUUUUUUUAAGAAUGCAACAAUUAAUAAUCAUGUUUAAUCACAGAUGUACAAUCUGUCGUUUUGUGUUGCUUUCCAAUGUUACAGAAUAAAAGGAAUUGUUCACCCGAUAUUUAAUAUGUAGUAGUUAACAACUUGUCCCCUUGUCAUCAAAACUCUCCUGAAGUUCUAACAAAAAAUAAACACAGAGGAAGUUUCAUCUGAGCUUUCUCCUAAACUAUUAAGGAUAACAAGGUUAACAAAGAAUUUUGGAUGGGUCGAAAGUCCUAUUUGUACCUUUAUAAUUUCCUAUAUUUUUAUGUAUAUUUAAUGACAAGGUGCAUGAUUUUUGGAAAUGUUUUAUGGAGCUGUAAAAAGAUGAAGGUUGAUGGAAGAACUGUGAUUUAAUGUCCACAGAAACUGAAAAUGAUGUAUCAUAAGUGAAUUGUCAUUUUCAGUUGAACUAUUCCUUUAAAGGUGCAACAUGUAAGAAGUAGCCACCUGUCGAAUUCAUGCUCCAAACAAAUAGGGGGUAGCAUAACUGCUAACUGUUGCUAACUGUAGCUGCCAUUAGCUAGUUAGCUUAGUUAGCUCAGUUAGCCGUGCAGCUAGCGGUUAUAUUGCUCACUGACUGCCUGGACUGGGAGUUUGGGGCACUGGGGUGUGUUGGUGUUUACACCACUAGCAAAGGAGCUUUGGACCACCGGGAGGAGGAGGUUUUCAGGCUCAGGACUGGGGGGGACCCAGUGGGGAAUGCUGGUGGGGAGCAGCACUGGAAUAGACACCAGAACCGGAGCUGGAGCGGGUAAGGGAACCGAGCUUUGCAGCCUCCAGGUGAACACAGCCAGAUUGGGACCGAAUAGAGCAUCCAACGGAGGCCAGUUUAACGACAGGGAAUAUAGUAUUGAGACUGAAGGCAGACUGGACACUACAGUGACUCACUGUCACAUCUUGAGGUGCAAAGUGGUAUUAUGAGACAGUACGGGCCGAGGCCAGCUGGUUAGCAUGCUAACUUCAGUAGAUAUCUCAGCAACACGAUACAUAGAUGUCUUUGACAUAAUUCUUCACAUUCUGUUCAUAAUUUUAGUUAAUUUUUUAAUGUUUUAAACCUAAAUUCUUAUAUAUAGCUCCUUUAAGUAAGAGUUCAGUCCCUUCAUCCAGCAGAUCAUUUUCAUUUGCUUCAGGUUCUUGGAUAAACUGCACCUCUUUUAAACUUUAGUGUUGUGUCUUAGCCCGCUGCAGGUCCUUCCUACUGCCCAUAUCAGAGGUGCCAUGAUCCAGAGUGACUUGAUGCACCAGGACAGGCUGGGACCCCUCAGCAGGCCCACAGUGGACAGCUGUGAUUACUGCUGACAAUAAUUUAUGGUCCCCUCUGAUUGAAAACACGAGAGCUGGAGAUAGAAAGGCUGGUGUGGAGUCAAGGCACCACCUUAAGAUAUAAAACUGAGGCCGCAGCUGCUGUCAGAAGCAGGACUCCUGCCAAGCUCUGCAGGCCUUCUGCCCAUCCAGACAAACACAAGCUCUCAUUUUGCUCUCUUUUCUCUUCCUUUAUAUUUUCCUUCCUCCUUUCCUUUGCCUGGUUAUAGUCCUCCUCUACAUUGUCUCUCUCAUAAUUUCUAUCUUGCUAAAACUUCUCUUAUAUUUUGGUCUUUAUUUUCAACUUCAUGCAACAUCAACCUAAAUGUCCAUCAUAAUAUGGAGGUAUGCUGUUUGUAAUAUGUGUCUGAAAUGAAAAGGAACAAAUUCUUAUCCACCGUAGCUGAUCAGGUGUCUCUACAGUGAGCUUUUCCAGCCCUGAGAUUACCAUGCUAAUCCUAACAAUAGCAAUAUGCAGCUGGUUUGAACAACUAUCUGCACCAUUGUUUAUGUUGUCAUCCCUGCUGGAUUGCACUCAUGAGGAGUAACCAUUUUAGUGGAUUUGCAUUUACUAUUUCUAUGCCAUAUCCAGGGAUGAAGAGCUCUUCCUCUAAAAUGAUGUAUGUUCUGGGUAUUAUGUUCUAUUUCUAAAAGAGGCCUUGAACUAAAGAGAAGGGGUAGCAAAAGCUCUUGUGGAUAUGAAACUGAAAUUAAACAGAAAUUUAUAUUAGAUUGAAUUGAAAAUGAUUUAAAUGGAACCAAAUGGGAUGAAAUCUCAAAUACACUUGAGUAAAAAGAUUUGAAACAUGUUAUCUCAAAUUCUCUCUUUGAUUUCCCCUGUGAUUUUUGGUUAUGCUAAUAAAGUAUAUAUAUAUAUAUGAUAGAAAAUAGACUGUAUGUUAAAUACAUGUUGAUAUGUAUUAACAUAAACAUUACUGUUGACUUUUUUACAACUUCUUGUAAUGGCGCCAUUUUUCUAAGUAGUUUUAGAGUUUUACAAAUGUGUUCUUGUAAAGGCUUAUUCAGCUUAUCACACUGAGUUUCCACACUGAGUCUGUUGGCUACCUGUAAAAAUAGCAUCUCAGUCUAAGGACGGAAUUUGUUUUCUCUCAGAGCACAAUGGUGUGCAGCAGCCUCAGAGUUAUGUCAACAGGAGAGGGAAUGGAAUCCCCCCAAAAUUCAAGGCGCACUACGUUGUCAUCGCUCAAAAAAAGUGUCUUUAUUCCCUUGACUACAUGAUUAAAAACAAAUGUCAAA